GAAUAUUGGUCAAUGGACGCAAGUCUGAACCAGCCAUGCCGCGUGGAGGAUGACAGCCUUCUGGGUUGUAAACUUCUUUUAUAUGGGAAGAACAAUACGGUUUCUACUGUAUCCGACGGUACCAUAUGCAUAAGCACCGGCUAACUCCGUGCCAGCAGCCGCGGUAAUACGGAGGGUGCAAGCGUUAUCCGGAUUUACUGGGUUUAAAGGGUGUGUAGGCGGAUAUUUAAGUCAGAGGUGAAAUCUCCGGGCUCAACCCGGAAACUGCCUUUGAUACUAUUUAUCUUGAAUUUCGUUGAGGUUGGCGGUAUAUAUCAUGUAGCGGUGAAAUGCAUAGAUAUGAUAUAGAACACCGAUUGCGUAGGCAGCUGGCUGAACGACGAUUGACGCUGAGGCACGAAAGCGUGGGUAGCGAACAGG
rnacentral:rRNA from 1 species